UAAAGUUUCUUGAAUAGACCACUGCCUCCCCAGGUAACCACUAACAGACUUCGACGUCGGCUUAAAGUCUGGUAAGGCUAUAUACGACUACGGAGUCUGUCAAGGCAAAUUGGUUCAAGACACUGCUAUUUUAUACCAUUUACACCUUUCGAGAAGCAAAUUAUCCAAGUAUCCUUUGAUUUGUGGUGAAGCACCAAUGUGUCUAUGUGUUGGCACGUGAAGUAAACGUUUGAUCUGUACGUGAACUGACCAACGAAAUUUGGACCAGAGAGAUACAAAAGCUCUCGAAACAGGGUAGAAAGAAGGCGUCCCACAUCGGAAAUCCGUACCACCGUGGUCUGAACCCUAAGUUAGUUUUUUUGAUAUUGAGGAACAGUGCCAUUCCCAUAGUGCUCCCCUUGCUCCUGUACGGUACCUCCUGUUGGACGGUACACCAACGAAAACUGGACUUAUUGUUUACGAUUGUCCACCUGGCGGAAGAAGGAAUGCAAGAAGAUUUGAUUGCUGCGAAAAGCGACAUGAAAGGGAUACGUUAAGGAACAAUCAAAGCUAUGCGGAACAGGAGGGAAAACACAUCAGUAUUAUCGAGAAGAAGGCAAAUUUAAAUAGUCUGGGCGCAACCACUCCAGCUUUACAAGAAUUUCAAGCCAAUCAUACGACAUCUCACCACAUACGCAGU